UCCAGUUAAGGGAACGGGAUCCAUUGCCA
rnacentral:piRNA from 1 species